rnacentral:rRNA from 1 species
UUAAGCGACUAAGCGUACACGGUGGAUGCCCUGGCAGUCAGAGGCGAUGAAGGACGUGCUAAUCUGCGAUAAGCGCCGGUAAGGUGAUAUGAACCGUUAUAACCGGCGAUUUCCGAAUGGGGAAACCCAGUGUGAUUCGUCACACUAUCAUUAACUGAAUCCAUAGGUUAAUGAGGCGAACCGGGGGAACUGAAACAUCUAAGUACCCCGAGGAAAAGAAAUCAACCGAGAUUCCCCCAGUAGCGGCGAGCGAACGGGGAGGAGCCCAGAGCCUGAAUCAGCAUGUGUGUUAGUGGAAGCGUCUGGAAAGGUGCGCGAUACAGGGUGACAGCCCCGUACACAAAAGCGCAUGUGCUGUGAGCUCGAUGAGUAGGGCGGGACACGUGGUAUCCUGUCUGAAUAUGGGGGGACCAUCCUCCAAGGCUAAAUACUCCUGACUGACCGAUAGUGAACCAGUACCGUGAGGGAAAGGCGAAAAGAACCCCGGCGAGGGGAGUGAAAAAGAACCUGAAACCGUGUACGUACAAGCAGUGGGAGCACCCUUCGGGGUGUGACUGCGUACCUUUUGUAUAAUGGGUCAGCGACUUAUAUUCUGUAGCAAGGUUAACCGUAUAGGGGAGCCGGAGGGAAACCGAGUCUUAACCGGGCGUUAAGUUGCAGGGUAUAGACCCGAAACCCGGUGAUCUAGCCAUGGGCAGGUUGAAGGUUGGGUAACACUAACUGGAGGACCGAACCGACUAAUGUUGAAAAAUUAGCGGAUGACCUGUGGCUGGGGGUGAAAGGCCAAUCAAACCGGGAGAUAGCUGGUUCUCCCCGAAAGCUAUUUAGGUAGCGCCUCGUGAAUUCAUCUCCGGGGGUAGAGCACUGUUUCGGCUAGGGGGCCAUCCCGGCUUACCAACCCGAUGCAAACUGCGAAUACCGGAGAAUGUUAUCACGGGAGACACACGGCGGGUGCUAACGUCCGUCGUGAAGAGGGAAACAACCCAGACCGCCAGCUAAGGUCCCAAAGUCAUGGUUAAGUGGGAAACGAUGUGGGAAGGCCCAGACAGCCAGGAUGUUGGCUUAGAAGCAGCCAUCAUUUAAAGAAAGCGUAAUAGCUCACUGGUCGAGUCGGCCUGCGCGGAAGAUGUAACGGGGCUAAACCAUGCACCGAAGCUGCGGCAGCGACGCUGAUGCGUUGUUGGGUAGGGGAGCGUUCUGUAAGCCUGCGAAGGUGACCUGUGAGGGUUGCUGGAGGUAUCAGAAGUGCGAAUGCUGACAUAAGUAACGAUAAAGCGGGUGAAAAGCCCGCUCGCCGGAAGACCAAGGGUUCCUGUCCAACGUUAAUCGGGGCAGGGUGAGUCGACCCCUAAGGCGAGGCCGAAAGGCGUAGUCGAUGGGAAACGGGUUAAUAUUCCCGUACUUGGUGUUACUGCGAAGGGGGGACGGAGAAGGCUAUGUUGGCCGGGCGACGGUUGUCCCGGUUUAAGCGUGUAGGUGUGUGUUCCAGGUAAAUCCGGUUCACUUUAACACUGAGGCGUGAUGACGAGGCACUACGGUGCUGAAGCAACAAAUGCCCUGCUUCCAGGAAAAGCCUCUAAGCAUCAGGUAACAUCAAAUCGUACCCCAAACCGACACAGGUGGUCAGGUAGAGAAUACCAAGGCGCUUGAGAGAACUCGGGUGAAGGAACUAGGCAAAAUGGUGCCGUAACUUCGGGAGAAGGCACGCUGACACGUAGGUGAAGUGAUUUACUCACGGAGCUGAAGUCAGUCGAAGAUACCAGCUGGCUGCAACUGUUUAUUAAAAACACAGCACUGUGCAAACACGAAAGUGGACGUAUACGGUGUGACGCCUGCCCGGUGCCGGAAGGUUAAUUGAUGGGGUCAGCGUAAGCGAAGCUCCUGAUCGAAGCCCCGGUAAACGGCGGCCGUAACUAUAACGGUCCUAAGGUAGCGAAAUUCCUUGUCGGGUAAGUUCCGACCUGCACGAAUGGCGUAAUGAUGGCCAGGCUGUCUCCACCCGAGACUCAGUGAAAUUGAACUCGCUGUGAAGAUGCAGUGUACCCGCGGCAAGACGGAAAGACCCCGUGAACCUUUACUAUAGCUUGACACUGAACAUUGAGCCUUGAUGUGUAGGAUAGGUGGGAGGCUUUGAAGUGUGGACGCCAGUCUGCAUGGAGCCGACCUUGAAAUACCACCCUUUAAUGUUUGAUGUUCUAACGUGGACCCGUAAUCCGGGUUGCGGACAGUGUCUGGUGGGUAGUUUGACUGGGGCGGUCUCCUCCUAAAGAGUAACGGAGGAGCACGAAGGUUGGCUAAUCCUGGUCGGACAUCAGGAGGUUAGUGCAAUGGCAUAAGCCAGCUUGACUGCGAGCGUGACGGCGCGAGCAGGUGCGAAAGCAGGUCAUAGUGAUCCGGUGGUUCUGAAUGGAAGGGCCAUCGCUCAACGGAUAAAAGGUACUCCGGGGAUAACAGGCUGAUACCGCCCAAGAGUUCAUAUCGACGGCGGUGUUUGGCACCUCGAUGUCGGCUCAUCACAUCCUGGGGCUGAAGUAGGUCCCAAGGGUAUGGCUGUUCGCCAUUUAAAGUGGUACGCGAGCUGGGUUUAGAACGUCGUGAGACAGUUCGGUCCCUAUCUGCCGUGGGCGCUGGAGAACUGAGGGGGGCUGCUCCUAGUACGAGAGGACCGGAGUGGACGCAUCACUGGUGUUCGGGUUGUCAUGCCAAUGGCACUGCCCGGUAGCUAAAUGCGGAAGAGAUAAGUGCUGAAAGCAUCUAAGCACGAAACUUGCCCCGAGAUGAGUUCUCCCUGAGACUUAGAGUCUCCUGAAGGAACGUUGAAGACGACGACGUUGAUAGGCCGGGUGUGUAAGCGCAGCGAUGCGUUGAGCUAACCGGUACUAAUGAACCGUGAGGCUUAACCU